CCGGGUGUGGGAGGGGGGUGGGGGGUGGGGGUGGGGGGUAUCGGGGAAACUGGGGAAGAUGGGAGAGCUGGAGGAGAGUCGUGGGGUCCGAGGAGCACCUCGGCAUCUGGAGUCUGGCAGGAAUGUUGAAGGACUGAGGGGCUAGCUCAGGCAGAGCAAAGGCAUCGCAAAGGCUGGAAAACAUCGGAGUGAAGCUGAAGGGCCUGAGCUAGGGUUGGAGAGGAAUGGGGAGCCAGACAUUCAUCCCGGUUACUUUUGGUUACAGGACGUGGCGGCUGGUCGGAUAAAGGGGAGCUGCUGGGAAGGGUUCGACCCCAGACCUGGGCAGUGAAGGUAUAGCUGGCAGCAGUGGGCAGGUGAGGACCGCCGUCUGCUGGGCAGGUGAGUCUCCUUCUUCUCUCUUGGCCUCGCUCCACUGACCUUCUAAACGAAGGUUUAGAGAGGGGGCCUGGUGAGAAGAAGCGGCUGGCCUCGCAGCAGAAUGGCACAUAGAAAGGCAGGAUAGUUAGCAAAGGAGACAUCGUCUCGGGGGGAGCCGAGACAGAAGGAGGCUGGGGGACCAUUGGCGACCCCAGGUGGAAAGAGCUCUUAGAGAGAAGAAAGAAGAGGUGCAGGGUUGCCAGUAAAGACUGAGGCCGCUGCCUCCAGGGAGGUGAUAGGAGUCCUUGGAGACAGUGGCAGAGACCAUGGGAUCCAGCAAGAACAGAAGCAUUCUAGGCUGGGGUCAAACAGGGCAAGAUGGGGUCACAAGACACAGAUGGGUCCCCAGCCGCCACAACAUCCCACCCACCGUAAUUCACUUAGAAGAAGGUUCAAGAGUGGCUCUGGCAAAGUCCCAAGUUUGCCAGAGCCUCAAUAACUGGAGAAUGGAAAAGAAGGGCAGUGCAGGGUGUCACCAGAAGGGGAGUGGGGGCUGCAGGUAUCGGACUCCAGAGGGAUUUUACAGCAAGGAGGCUGCAGUGGGUCCAGCCUGCAGACACACCAUUCCCAUGAGGCACUGCGGCCCAGGGACUGGUGCGGAAAGGGCCCACAGUGGACUUGGUACACUGUAUGCCCUAACCGCUCAGUCCCUGGGUCUGGCAUGACAGACAGAACAUUUCCAGGGGAGUCAAGGGCACAGGAUGAAGCCAGACGAGGCGAGGCAGGCGGGGCAGAAUGAAUGAGUUUCUAGGGAGGGAGGUUGGGUGCAGGUAGAGCGAGUAGCUGGGGUGGUGAGCCAGGGAGGCACUGGCCUCCAGAGUCCGUGGCCAAGGAGGGCCUUGCGGGCGGCGACGGAGCAGUGAUCGGUGUCUCGAAGAGCUCGGACUGGAGACUAGGCCAGGUCUCCAGCAGAGGUGGAUGUGCCUGCCAGUCACUGAAGGCGAGGAUGACAGAUGGUGUCAACAUUUUGAAAGAGCAGACUCAUAGCACCCACCCACCCCUGAGAAUCCAUCUUCAUGGCCAACUCUGCCUGACCCGGGAGACCACCACCCACAUCAUCCUGGAGCCAAGCCUCUACCCCGGGAUGACUUCAUCAUCUCCCUCCUGUCUUUUUCUUCUUCCUCCUUUCCUGUAAUUCUGUUUCUUUCCUUUUGUUCCUUCCUUGCUUGAGAGACUCAAAGCACCCGUGACUCUGUUUCCCCAUUUACCCCCUUUUGAAUUUGCACUAAGUCGAUUGCACUGGUUUGGAGUCCCGGAGAUAGCUUUGAGUCUCUCCGUAUGAAUGUAUACAGCGAGUGUGUAAACCUCUUUGGCAAUGCUGCCCCAGUACCCACCUGUCGUCCAUCUCCGUCUGAGGGCAACUGGGUGUGGCCGUGUGCUUGAGGCCUCGCCUUCCCCUCGCCUAGUCUGGAAGCAGUUCCAUCAUAAAGUGUUCAACAUGCCCUACUUCAUCCUUUGCCCCUCCUCACCAGGGCCUCACCAGAGGUCCUGGGUCCAUCAAUAAAUACAGUUACAGUCA
rnacentral:lncRNA from 1 species